AUGACCUCAGAAAACUCCGCCUUUGGAAAGCCGCGCUUGCCGCCUCUCCCUUGCCCCCCGCCGUUCCCCCUCAAUUCUCACUUUUUGUUUAUCGACACGUCGUUGCCACCAGCAGGAGAACUGAAAAGACGAAACUUAGCUCCAAACGCCUUGGUUUUCCGGUCAGGAGUUCACCGGGUUUGCGCACCUCUUCGAGCGCUGCUUUUGCGAAGCGGGAGCGACUCCGGCAUCCCGCUUUCUUCCUCGGCGUUUUUCUUGGGAAUUCUGCGGGAGCCCCGCGGUUUCUCCCGGGCUGCGCUCCCCGGGCUCUGCAAGGCAGCCCCAGGACGCCGUGACCUCCCCUUGCCCCUCGCUCAAACGCCUCCAGAGGACUUGGGCAGCCCCUCGGCGGGACGAGGGGGGGCCCCCCCCCCUCGGCGGGACGAGGGGGGGCGGCGGAGCCCCCUCCGCUCCCCCAAAUCGCUCUCCGUACGGUCAAGCGCACAGAAUGGGCUGGAAAGGCGAGAUUUUGGGAAACCUGUGAAGAGAAUGGACGUGAUCUGCGUGUCGAAGCGAAGCUGAAGGAUCAGUAAGCCGCAGUUAACACCGGUCACUUCCACCGAGAUUUUGGGACGCUUUCUUGUUUUUGGUCUAUGUUGGUUUUAGUUCCCCCCCCCCCCCCCCCCCCCCCCCCCCCCCCCCCCCCCCCCCCCCCCCCCCCCCCCCCCCCCCCCCCCCCCCCCCC
rnacentral:lncRNA from 1 species